rnacentral:lncRNA from 1 species
AUGCGGCGCUACCCGCACGUGGUGGCGCUGUGUCUGGCCUGCGGCUUCUGCUCGCUCCUUUACGCCUUCAGCCAGCUCCCCAUGUCCCUGGAGGAAGCAGCAGGCGGUGGUGGCGGGAAGCAGCAGGCCUCAGUGGCUUCCUGGCUGGCAGGAGGCGGAUGCGGUGCCGUGAGAGGCGCGGGCAGCGCUGGUCCUGCUGUGCAUCCUGGUGGGUGGGACAGGUGUCGUCUGAAAAUACAGCCUGUUGAGAAAAUGCAUCUAGCUGUAGUUGCCUGUGAUGAAAGACUGGAAGAAACUAUGACCACGUUGAAGUCAGCUAUCAUUUUUCAGGAUCAAAGCUCUUCAAUUCCAGGUUUUUGCUGAAGAUCAGCUACAUUAUAGCUUUAAAGGAAGACGUGACAGGGGUCAUUUCUGCAAAUAUUUAAUUAUACAAUAUACCCCAUAACCUUUCCAAGUGAGAAUGCAGCAGCAUGGAAAAACUCUUUAAACCAUGUGGUCCGCAGAGAUUGUUCUUGCCGUUAUUCCUGAAAGAAGUUGACUCCCACACUAAUAGCCUUUUUUACGACCAGUUGAUCAUAUUUGUUCUUUACUAAAGAAAUUUAAUUCCACAUAAAUUGCUCCAGUGGCCUCAGAACACAAGGAACCUCAAAUAAGAUGGUAUAGUCGCUUUGCUAGGCAACCAUACUGUGGAAAAACUGGAGUAAACCCUGGAAUUAUGUUGAUGAAUAUGACUCGAAUGAGAAGGAAGUAUUUCAAGAAUGAUAUGACAAACUGUGUGACUACAAUGAAGAGAUAUACUUAUGACAUGGCUUAAAGAAUACAAACUAAACAUUACAUAGGCAAUCAAGAUUUACAUGGGCAAUCAAGAUUUGUUGGAUAUCAUGUUUUUUCAUAAUCCAGAAAGUCUUUUUGCCUUUCCGUGUCAAUGGAAUUAUCAUCCAGAUCAUUGUCUAUAUGGAAGCAGUUGCCAAGAAGCAGAAGAAGGAAUCUUGAUUCUUCAGGGAACAGAGGUGUUUACCAUGAUGAUAAGCAACCAGCAUUUAGAGCUGUUUAUGAAGCACUGAGAAAUUGUUCUUUUAAGAUGACAACAUUCAUUCCCUAAUAAAACCUUUAGAACUGGAACUACAAAAAACAGUGCAUACAUACCGUGGAAAAAUUUACAAAAUAUUUGUCAAACAACUAGCAAAAACCAUAAGAGAUCAUUAUGCCAGAUGACCAAAGGAAAGGUGA